rnacentral:rRNA from 1 species
CGCUGGCGGUAUGUUACACAUGCAAGUCGAACGGAACCUUCGGGUUUAGUGGCGGACGGGUGAGUACGCGUGAGAUCUGCCUCUAGGUCGGGGACAACAACUGGAAACGGUUGCUAAUACCCGAUGUGCAGCAAUGUGAAAGAUUUAUUGCCUAGAGAUGAGCUCGCGUCUGAUUAGCUAGUAGGUGUGGUAAUGGCGCACCUAGGCGACGAUCAGUAACUGGUCUGAGAGGAUGACCAGUCACACUGGGACUGAGACACGGCCCAGACUCCUACGGGAGGCAGCAGUGGGGAAUUUUCCGCAAUGGGCGAAAGCCUGAUGGAGCAAUACCGCGUGAGGGACGAAGGCUUUUGGGUCGUAAACCUCUUUUCCCUGAGAAGAAGAUCUGACGGUAUCAGGGGAAUCAGCAUCGGCUAACUUCGUGCCAGCAGCCGCGGUAAUACGAGGGAUGCAAGCGUUAUUCCGGAAUUAUUGGG